UACGGGGGGAGCAAGCGUUGUUCGGAUUUACUGGGCGUAAAGGGCGCGUAGGCGGCCUCCGCAAGUCAGUUGUGAAAUCUCCGAGCUUAACUCGGAAAGGUCAACUGAUACCGCGGGGCUAGAGUGCGGAAGGGGCAACUGGAAUUCUUGGUGUAGCGGUGAAAUGCGUAGAUAUCAAGAGGAACACCUGCGGCGAAGGCGGGUUGCUGGGCCGACACUGACGCUGAGGCGCGAAAGCUAGGGGAGCGAACGGG
rnacentral:rRNA from 1 species